CAGCCAUCAGUAAAUCGAAAUACAGUAAAAAAAAAUGAGCGCGAAACCCUGACACUUUACAGAAAGGCACGGAUAUCCCCGCCCGAAGAAAAAAAGAACACAGGACAAUGGUUGCAAGUUAAACAGCUGAACAUUUCACCAUCUGCAAAGAACAUUUCACCAUCAACAUAUUAACAUAAACGGUUCUCUUUUUCUUGUUUGACUGCGUUUGGUACAGGUCACAACAACGACGGCAGAUGUAGAGACCACGCUUUCCCUUGCUUCCACUCCACGGCUGAUCAUGCUUGAGGAUCCAGAUCUACAAAACAAAAAAUGGAUGCUGCCGAUUGAAGGCUAAGUCCGAUUUCCUGCGAUUGACCUACCAUUUCUUCAGCAUUUGCUGUUCACUUUGGUUGCUACUACGUGCUCAACAUCGAGUACCAUGUGCAAGCAGCCACUACUUUGGAGUUUAUUCAGAGAUUUAUUGUGAGGAUCAGCCCCGACAACAGCAAGUGCUCCUCUAACUUCCAGGUGAGCAAAAGAAGUGGGAAGAUGGUGCAAAGGAAGAACUCUGGCCUGAACCAUCAUGUAUAUAUCCACCUUUAUUAAGGACUUUAUGAAUUAAGCAAAACUAUUAAGCAACUAAAGCAAAUACAUUCUACUCAACUCACCAGAGCGGAGUUUAUCGGAAGUUCAUGCGGACCGCGACAGCCGCUUGUUUAUGAUGUUACUGCUGAAACCGUCUAUAGUUAUAACUGAAUUUGUACUAGUAUUAUUUGAUAAUACUGUGAAAUGAAACGGUGAGUAAAUGUUACAUUGGCUUUGAAAAAGCUGUUGCUGCAAGAAAUUACAAUUUACUCAGAAUAAUAUUUUGAAUGUAUAAGUUUUUGACAUUGCUUAUGACUGCAUUUGAAUGUAUUGUUCAUGAAUUGAUGCUGUGAUAUGUGUGUGUAAAUGUUUUGUGUGUUACAGGAUAAAAGAUUUGCUAUAAGCAAA